rnacentral:rRNA from 1 species
AGAGUUUGAUCCUGGCUCAGGACGAACGCUGGCGGCGUGCCUAAUACAUGCAAGUCGAGCGCGGGAAGCAAGGUGAUCCUCUUCGGAGGUGACGCUUGUGGAACGAGCGGCGGACGGGUGAGUAACACGUGGGCAACCUGCCUGUAAGACUGGGAUAACCCCGGGAAACCGGGGCUAAUACCGGAUAAUACUUUUCAUCACCUGAUGAGAAGUUGAAAGGUGGCUUUUAGCUACCACUUACAGAUGGGCCCGCGGUGCAUUAGCUAGUUGGUGAGGUAACGGCUCACCAAGGCAACGAUGCGUAGCCGACCUGAGAGGGUGAUCGGCCACACUGGGACUGAGACACGGCCCAGACUCCUACGGGAGGCAGCAGUAGGGAAUCUUCCGCAAUGGACGAAAGUCUGACGGAGCAACGCCGCGUGAGUGAUGAAGGUUUUCGGAUCGUAAAGCUCUGUUGUUAGGGAAGAACAAGUGCCGUUCGAAUAGGGCGGCACCUUGACGGUACCUAACCAGAAAGCCCCGGCUAACUACGUGCCAGCAGCCGCGGUAAUACGUAGGGGGCAAGCGUUGUCCGGAAUUAUUGGGCGUAAAGCGAGGCGGUCCUUAAGGUCUGAUUUGAAAGCCCACGGCUCAACCGUGGAGGGGUCAUUGGAAACUGGAGGACUUGAGUACAGAGAGGAGAGUGGAAUUCCACGUGUAGCGCUGAAAUGCGUAGAGAUGUGGAGGAACACCAGUGGCGAAGGCGACUCUUCUGGUCUGUAACUGACGCUGAGGCGCGAAAGCGUGGGGAGCGAACAGGAUUAGAUACCCUGGUAGUCCACGCCGUAAACGAUGAGUGCUAGGUGUUAGGGGGUUUCCGCCCCUUAGUGCUGAAGUUAACGCAUUAAGCACUCCGCCUGGGGAGUACGGCCGCAAGGCUGAAACUCAAAAGAAUUGACGGGGGCCCGCACAAGCGGUGGAGCAUGUGGUUUAAUUCGACGCAACGCGAAGAACCUUACCAGGUCUUGACAUCCUCUGCAAUCGGUAGAGAUACCGAGUUCCCUUCGGGGACAGAGUGACAGGUGGUGCAUGGUUGUCGUCAGCUCGUGUCGUGAGAUGUUGGGUUAAGUCCCGCAACGAGCGCAACCCUUGAUCUUAGUUGCCAGCAUUUAGUUGGGCACUCUAAGGUGACUGCCGGUGACAAACCGGAGGAAGGUGGGGAUGACGUCAAAUCAUCAUGCCCCUUAUGACCUGGGCUACACACGUGCUACAAUGGAUGGAACAAAGGGAAGCAAAACCGCGAGGUCAAGCAAAUCCCAUAAAACCAUUCUCAGUUCGGAUUGCAGGCUGCAACUCGCCUGCAUGAAGCCGGAAUCGCUAGUAAUCGCGGAUCAGCAUGCCGCGGUGAAUACGUUCCCGGGCCUUGUACACACCGCCCGUCACACCACGAGAGUUGGUAACACCCGAAGUCGGUGAGGUAACCUUUUGGAGCCAGCCGCCGAAGGUGGGACCAAUGAUUGGGGUGAAGUCGUAACAAGGUA